rnacentral:rRNA from 1 species
AGAGUUUGAUCCUGGCUCAGGAUGAACGCUAGCGGCAGGCUUAACACAUGCAAGUCGAGGGGCAGCAUAAUGGAUAGCAAUAUCUAUGGUGGCGACCGGCGCACGGGUGCGUAACGCGUAUGCAACCUACCUUUAACAGGGGCAUAACACUGAGAAAUUGGUACUAAUUCCCCAUAACAUUCGAGAAGGCAUCUUCUUGGGUUAAAAACUCCGGUGGUUAAAGAUGGGCAUGCGUUGUAUUAGCUAGUUGGUGAGGUAACGGCUCACCAAGGCAACGAUACAUAGGGGGACUGAGAGGUUAACCCCCCACAUUGGUACUGAGACACGGACCAAACUCCUACGGGAGGCAGCAGUGAGGAAUAUUGGUCAAUGGACGCAAGUCUGAACCAGCCAUGCCGCGUGCAGGAAGACGGCUCUAUGAGUUGUAAACUGCUUUUGUACUAGGGUAAACGCUUCUACGUGUAGGAGCCUGAAAGUAUAGUACGAAUAAGGAUCGGCUAACUCCGUGCCAGCAGCCGCGGUAAUACGGAGGAUCCAAGCGUUAUCCGGAUUUAUUGGGUUUAAAGGGUGCGUAGGCGGUUUGAUAAGUUAGAGGUGAAAUACCGGGGCUCAACUCCGGAACUGCCUCUAAUACUGUUGAACUAGAGAGUAGUUGCGGUAGGCGGAAUGUAUGGUGUAGCGGUGAAAUGCUUAGAGAUCAUACAGAACACCGAUUGCGAAGGCAGCUUACCAAACUAUAUCUGACGUUGAGGCACGAAAGCGUGGGGAGCAAACAGGAUUAGAUACCCUGGUAGUCCACGCAGUAAACGAUGAUAACUCGUUGUCGGCGAUACACAGUCGGUGACUAAGCGAAAGCGAUAAGUUAUCCACCUGGGGAGUACGUUCGCAAGAAUGAAACUCAAAGGAAUUGACGGGGGCCCGCACAAGCGGAGGAACAUGUG